AAGGUUGCUUCCAGCUGGAGGUGAGUCGAAAAGGCUGGGCCUCAAGUCAACGGCUGUAGAGCAGAGGUCACUAGAUGAAGAACACUAUGGAAGACAAAGGACCAAAAUACUUUUUGUUUCCCCAACUACAAAAGUUUUUAUAUACACCUUUUAAAAUCUGAACUGCUACAAUAAAGGAGGAGCGGGGUCGACCUGGCAAGGACGGCGACGGAACGGAGCCAAUUAAGCAACCGGAGCGGUCCCCGGGGCAGCCGUCGUCUUCUGAACACAAACGAUGCAGAGUCUGAGAUUCCACCAGGUGCAGAUGCGCUGCAUUCUGGCUGUGCCGUGGUUUUGUUUCAUCCUCACACCACACUGGGAGUGUUUCAGAAUCAGAGCAUUUUGUUUGUAGAUUCAGUUGACUUUUUUCCUGGAUAUUAAUGCUUUUAUCAUAAAGGUCUUCUUGUGUGCCUCACUGCUCUCCUGUGCUUCAACGUCAGGUUUUUCACCCUUCCUCUGUGGAUCAACG